UGCAUCGGAACGUGUCCCGUAGAGGGGAAUAGCUCGGCGAAAGCCGGAUUAAUACCGCAUAUGCUCUACGGAGGAAAGCCGGGGACCCGCAAGGGCCUGGCGCUAUGGGAGCGGCCGAUGCCCGAUUAGCUUGUUGGUGAGGUAAAGGCUUACCAAGGCGACGAUCGGUAGCUGGUCUGAGAGGAUGAUCAGCCACACUGGGACUGAGACACGGCCCAGACUCCUACGGGAGGCAGCAGUGGGGAAUUUUGGACAAUGGGGGAAACCCUGAUCCAGCCAUGCCGCGUGAGUGAAGAAGGC
rnacentral:rRNA from 1 species